GUAUCGCAAACCGACACAGGUGGGCGAGGAGAGUAUCCUCAGGCGCGCGAGAGAACCCACGUUAAGGAACUCGGCAAUCUGUACCCGUAACUUCGGAAGAAGGGUAGCCUCAUUAUCGUGAAGGGACUUGCUCCUGGAGCGAGAAGGGGCCGCAGAAAAUCGGUUGAAGCGACUGUUUACCAAAAACAUAGGUCUCUGCUAAGCCGUAAGGCGACGUAUAGGGGCCGAUGCCUGCCCAAUGCCGGAAUGUCACGAGGAGAGGUCAGCCGCAAGGCGAAGCUUUGAAUCUAAGCACCGGUCAAUGGCGGCCGUAACUAUAACGGUCCUAAGGUAGCGAAAUUCCUUGUCGGGUAAGUUCCGACCUGCACGAAUGGCAUAACGACUUCAACGCUGUCUCAACGUGGGACUCGGCGAAAUUGUAUUACGAGUGAAGAUGCUCGUUUCUCAUAGCAAGACGGAAAGACCCCGUGGAGCUUUACUGUAGCUUGUCAUUGAUUCGUUGGAUUAGAUGCAGAGGAUAGGUAGGAGUUGAUGAUUCGUCCCUUUCGGGGGGCGUGGAGACACCCGUGGAAUACUACCCUUCUAAUCUGACGGCUCUAACCUCAGCCCUGAUCGGGUCGAGGGACCGUGGCAGGCAGGCAGUUUGACUGGGGCGGUCGCCUCCUAAACGGUAACGGAGGCGUUCAAAGGUUCCUUCAGGACGGUCGGCAAUCGUCCAAAGAGCGCAAAGGUAAAAGGGAGCUUGACUGCGAGACCUACAAGUCAAGCAGGUGCGAAAGCAGGACUUAGUGAUCCGACGGUGGAAAGUGGGAUCGCCGAAGCUCAACGGAUAAAAGCUACCCCGGGGAUAACAGGCUUAUCUCUCCCAAGAGUUCAUAUCGACGGGGAGGUUUGGCACCUCGAUGUCGGCUCGUCGCAUCCUGGGGCUGGAUUAGGUCCCAAGGGUUGGGCUUUCGCCCAUUAAAGCGGCACGCGAGCUGGGUUCAGAACGUCGUGAGACAGUUCGGUCCCUAUCUGCUAUGAGCGUAAGAAAGUUGAGAAGAGCUGUCCUUAGUACGAGAGGACCGGGAUGGACAGACCUCUGGUGUACCGGUUGUGCUGCAAGGUGCAAACGCCGGGUAGCUAUGUCUGGAUCGGAUAAGCGCUGAAAGCAUCUAAGUGCGAAGCCGACUUCAAGAUUAACUUUCUCCCCCAUUUUUGGGGUAAGACCCCUUGAAGAUAACGAGGUGGAUAGGUCGCGUGUGUAAGCAUGGUUAACAUGUGUAGCUAAGCGAUACUAAUCGGUCGAGGACUUGACUG
rnacentral:rRNA from 1 species